rnacentral:rRNA from 1 species
AUCCAGGAUGGGAUCAUGAGUUCACAUGUCCGCAUGAUUAAAGGUAUUUUCCGGUAGACGAUGGGGAUGCGUUCCAUUAGAUAGUAGGCGGGGUAACGGCCCACCUAGUCAACGAUGGAUAGGGGUUCUGAGAGGAAGGUCCCCCACAUUGGAACUGAGACACGGUCCAAACUCCUACGGGAGGCAGCAGUGAGGAAUAUUGGUCAAUGGGCGAUGGCCUGAACCAGCCAAGUAGCGUGAAGGAUGACUGCCCUAUGGGUUGUAAACUUCUUUUAUAAAGGAAUAAAGUCGGGUAUGCAUACCCGUUUGCAUGUACUUUAUGAAUAAGGAUCGGCUAACUCCGUGCCAGCAGCCGCGGUAAUACGGAGGAUCCGAGCGUUAUCCGGAUUUAUUGGGUUUAAAGGGAGCGUAGAUGGAUGUUUAAGUCAGUUGUGAAAGUUUGCGGCUCAACCGUAAAAUUGCAGUUGAUACUGGAUGUCUUGAGUGCAGUUGAGGCAGGCGGAAUUCGUGGUGUAGCGGUGAAAUGCUUAGAUAUCACGAAGAACUCCGAUUGCGAAGGCAGCCUGCUAAGCUGCAACUGACAUUGAGGCUCGAAAGUGUGGGUAUCAAACAGGAUUAGAUACCCUGGUAGUCCACACGGUAAACGAUGAAUACUCGCUGUUUGCGAUAUACGGCAAGCGGCCAAGCGAAAGCGUUAAGUAUUCCACCUGGGG